GUGGGGAAUAUUGGACAAUGGGGGGAACCCUGAUCCAGCCAUGCCGCGUGUGUGAAGAAGGCCUUUUGGUUGUAAAGCACUUUAAGCGAGGAGGAGGCUACCGAGAUUAAUACUCUUGGAUAGUGGACGUUACUCGCAGAAUAAGCACCGGCUAACUCUGUGCCAGCAGCCGCGGUAAUACAGAGGGUGCAAGCGUUAAUCGGAUUUACUGGGCGUAAAGCGCGCGUAGGUGGCCAAUUAAGUCAAAUGUGAAAUCCCCGAGCUUAACUUGGGAAUUGCAUUCGAUACUGGUUGGCUAGAGUAUGGGAGAGGAUGGUAGAAUUCCAGGUGUAGCGGUGAAAUGCGUAGAGAUCUGGAGGAAUACCGAUGGCGAAGGCAGCCAUCUGGCCUAAUACUGACACUGAGGUGCGAAAGCAUGGGGAGCAAACAGGAUUAGAUACCCUUGUAUCC
rnacentral:rRNA from 1 species